AUGGAUGAAACAACUAAAAAUCUGAAGAUUUUAUAAGAUUUCCAUAUGCUGUAGACCACAAGGACGAAGGCAGUUGUUGUCCUACCUGGAAGCAGGCAGUGCCUUGACUCAUUUGCUCCAGACCCUGUCUCUGACAUGCUUGGCAGACAUUCUCCCCAGAUGAGUCACUCCUGAGACCUGCAUUUGAGUGGAUCUUCCAUGUCCUGCAACCCUGAUUUCCACCUCAGCCAUUCUUACCCUUAUUACCUUAUCCAUGUCAUUAUUGAACUUGCUCCCUGCUAUAGACUUUGCAUGUGUGUGGACCUCCAAAAUUCCUAUUUUGAAAUCUAAUCACUGAUAUGCAAUAGAAUUAAGUGGUGAGGACUUUUGAGAGGUGACUGGGUCAUUGAUAUGGUUUGGCAGUGUCCCAUCCAAAUCUCAUCUUGAAUUGUAACUCCCACAAUUUCCACAUGUCAUGGGAGGGACCUGGUGGCAGGUGAUUGAAUUAUGGGGGCAGCCCUUUUCCUGCACUGUUUUUGUGGUAGUGAAUGAGUCCCAUGAGAUCUGAUGGUUUUAAAAAGGGGAAUUUCCCUGCACAAGUUCUUCUCUUGUCUGCCACCAUGUGAGACGUGCCUUUCACCUUCUGCCAUGAUUGUGAGACCUCCCCAGCUACGUGGAACUGUAAGUCCAAUAAAUCACUUUCUUUUGUAAA
rnacentral:lncRNA from 1 species